rnacentral:rRNA from 1 species
AUUGAACGCUGGCGGCAGGCCUAACACAUGCAAGUCGAGCGGUAGAGAGAAGCUUGCUUCUCUUGAGAGCGGCGGACGGGUGAGUAAUGCCUAGGAAUCUGCCUGGUAGUGGGGGAUAACGUUCGGAAACGAACGCUAAUACCGCAUACGUCCUACGGGAGAAAGCAGGGGACCUUCGGGCCUUGCGCUAUCAGAUGAGCCUAGGGUCGGAUUAGCUAGUUGGUGAGGGUAAAUGGGCUCACCAAGGCUACGAUCCGUAACUGGUCUGAGAGGAUGAUCAGUCACACUGGAACUGAGACACGGUCCAGACUCCUACGGGAGGCAGCAGUGGGGGAAUAUUGGACAAUGGGCGAAAGCCUGAUCCAGCCAUGCCGCGUGUGUGAAGAAGGUCUUCGGAUUGUAAAGCACUUUAAGUUGGGAGGAAGGGGCAUUAACCUAAUACGUUAGUGUUUGACGUUACCGACAGAAUAAGCACCGGGCUAACUCUGUGCCCAGCAGCCGCGGGUAAAUA